rnacentral:rRNA from 1 species
GACGAACGCUGGCGGCGUGCCUAAUACAUGCAAGUCGAGCGAAUCAAUGGGAGCUUGCUCCCUGAGAUUAGCGGCGGACGGGUGAGUAACACGUGAGUAAUCUGCCCCGAUGACUGGGACAACCCGAGGAAACUCGGGCUAAUACCGGAUGAUGAGCCAAGGUUUAAGCCUUGUCUCUAAAGGAAGCUUCGGCCUCCGCAUCGGGAGGAGCUCGCGGCGCAUUAGCUUGUUGGUGGGGUAACGGCCUACCAAGGCGACGAUGCGUAGCUGGCCUGAGAGGACGAUCAGCCACACUGGGACUGAGACACGGCCCAGACUCCUACGGGAGGCAGCAGUGGGGAAUCUUGCGCAAUGCGCGAAAGCGUGACGCAGCAACGCCGCGUGGGGGAAGACGGCCUUAGGGUUGUAAACCCCUUUCAGGAGGGACGAAGGUUCACCGGUUAAUAGCCGUGUGGAUUGACGGUACCUCCACAAGAAGCACCGGCUAACUACGUGCCAGCCGCCGCCGUAA